UACGUAGGGUCCGAGCGUUGUCCGGAAUUAUUGGGCGUAAAGGGCUCGUAGGCGGUUUGUCGCGUCGGGAGUGAAAACUCAGGGCUCAACCCUGGACCUGCAUUCGAUACGGGCGGACUAGAGUUCGGUAGGGGAGACUGGAAUUCCUGGUGUAGCGGUGAAAUGCGCAGAUAUCAGGAGGAACACCGGUGGCGAAGGCGGAUCUCUGGGCCAUUACUGACGCUGAGGAGCGAAAGCGUGGGGAGCGAACAGG
rnacentral:rRNA from 1 species